AGGUGCAUUACUGGGCAAUGACUUAUUUGGCAGUUGAAUUGACCAUUCAGGCCAUGACCAGAGAAGCUAUGUUUACCGCCAAAGAAGAUUUGCCCGGCAAUUCAUCC
rnacentral:pre_miRNA from 1 species